rnacentral:rRNA from 4 species
UGGGGAAUAUUGGACAAUGGGCGCAAGCCUGAUCCAGCCAUGCCGCGUGAGUGAUGAAGGCCUUCGGGUUGUAAAGCUCUUUCACCCACGACGAUGAUGACGGUAGUGGGAGAAGAAGCCCCGGCUAACUUCGUGCCAGCAGCCGCGGUAAUACGAAGGGGGCAAGCGUUGUUCGGAAUGACUGGGCGUAAAGGGCGCGUAGGCGGUUCGUUGCGUCAGAUGUGAAAGCCCCGGGCUCAACCUGGGAACUGCAUUUGAUACGGGCGGGCUUGAAUCCAAGAGAGGGUGGUGGAAUUCCCAGUGUAGAGGUGAAAUUCGUAGAUAUUGGGAAGAACACCAGUGGCGAAGGCGGCCACCUGGCUUGGUAUUGACGCUGAGGCGCGAAAGCGUGGGGAGCAAACAGGAUUAGAUACCCUGGUAGUCCACGCCGUAAACGAUGUGUGCUAGCCGUCGGGCAGCUUGCUGUUCGGUGGCGCAGCUAACGCGAUAAGCACACCGCCUGGGGAGUACGGUCGCAAGAUUAAAACU